GAUGAACGCUGGCGGCGUGCCUAAUACAUGCAAGAUGAGCGAACAGACGAGGAGCUUGCUCCUCUGACGUUAGCGGCGGACGGGUGAGUAACACGUGGAUAACCUACCUAUAAGACUGGGAUAACUUCGGGAAACCGGAGCUAAUACCGGAUAAUAUAUUGAACCGCAUGGUUCAAUAGUGAAAGACGGUUUUGCUGUCACUUAUAGAUGGAUCCGCGCCGCAUUAGCUAGUUGGUAAGGUAACGGCUUACCAAGGCAACGAUGCGUAGCCGACCUGAGAGGGUGAUCAGCCACACUAGAACUGACACACGGUCCACACUCCGACGAGAGGCACCAUUAGCAGCUCUGCCGCAAUGAGCGAAAGCUUGACGGAGCAACGCCGCUUGAAUGACGAAGGUCUUCGGAACGUUAGACACUGUUAUUAAGGAAGAGCAAAUGUGUAAGUAACUAUGCACGUCUUGACGGUACCUACUCAGAAAUCCACGGCUAGCUACAUG
rnacentral:rRNA from 1 species